UACGUAGGGUGCAAGCGUUGUCCGGAAUUAUUGGGCGUAAAGAGCUCGUAGGCGGUCUGUCGCGUCGGCUGUGAAAACUCGGGGCUCAACUCCGAGCUUGCAGUCGAUACGGGCAGGCUAGAGUUCGGCAGGGGAGACUGGAAUUCCUGGUGUAGCGGUGAAAUGCGCAGAUAUCAGGAGGAACACCUGUGGCGAAAGCGGCUCACUGGACCAUUACUGACGCUGAGACUCGAAAGCUAGGGGAGCAAACAGG
rnacentral:rRNA from 1 species